rnacentral:snRNA from 1 species
UUGCUUCAGCAGCACAUGUACUAAAAUUGGAACAAUACGGAGAAGAUUAGCAUGGCCCCUGCGCAAGGGUGACACGCAAAUUCGUGAAGCAUUCCAUAUUUUU